GACGAACGCUGGCGGCGUGCCUAAUACAUGCAAGUAGAACGCUGAAGGAGGAGCUUGCUUCUCUGGAUGAGUUGCGAACGGGUGAGUAACGCGUAGGUAACCUGCCUGGUAGCGGGGGAUAACUAUUGGAAACGAUAGCUAAUACCGCAUAAGAGUAGAUGUUGCAUGACAUUUGCUUAAAAGGUGCAAUUGCAUCACUACCAGAUGGACCUGCGUUGUAUUAGCUAGUUGGUGGGGUAACGGCUCACCAGGGCGACGAUACAUAGCCGACCUGAGAGGGUGAUCGGCCACACUGGGACUGAGACACGGCCCAGACUCCUACGGGAGGCAGCAGUAGGGAAUCUUCGGCAAUGGACGGAAGUCUGACCGAGCAACGCCGCGUGAGUGAAGAAGGUUUUCGGAUCGUAAAGCUCUGUUGUAAGAGAAGAACGAGUGUGAGAGUGGAAAGUUCACACUG
rnacentral:rRNA from 1 species